GCACCGUUUUUUCACACACUCUCAUUCCUCUGUUCUCUUAAGCGUUCUUCUCCUUCAUUCGUUUCUCUCAGUUCAUAUUCCUCAAUCUUUCUCUCCUCUCUAGAUCUCCAUCCUCCUCUAUCAUUUCACACUUCGCAUCACCCUUUCUCACACCUAUUUUCUCUCUCCUCUUCAAUUAUCUUAAUCUUCUUCUCUUUCUUUCCCAGAAUUUUGUUAUUUAAUGUGAGAUACUUUUUCUGUGUUAGAACUGACGAUCUAAGUGACUGAUUUGUUUGUUUGACUGUGAAUUUGGUAUUCAAUUGACUACUUUCUUCAUGGGUAUGUUAGAUUUUGGGACUUUUUGAUGAAUUUGUUGGGGAGUAUUUGAAAUCGUUGGUGGGUCUGUUUCUCGUCAUUCUUCUCCUCGUUGAGUCCCAUCGUUCUUCUCCUCGUUGUCGUUCUCUUCAAUUCGUUAAAUAUCUAUUCUCCUACUCUCCAUCAUCUACAUCCGCUCCUCAAAUGGCUACUAAUGGCGUUGUACCGGUCGUCGAGUCCUCGUCGUACGUCUCCCCUCUCUUUCCUUUCAUCGUCGCCGGUGGCCAAACACGAACGGCCAAGCACAAUGUCCUCCGACUACGGUCGGCUACUUGAUUCGUGGGUUGGUGGGUUGUCGUCGCUCGUGGUUGGUGGCCAAACACAGAUUUCUUUUGCUAAUGUAAAAAAUGGAGGUUCCUACUCUGUUACGUUGUUGAACCUGCUUCGGUCCGCUACUUGGUUCGUGGCCAUGGCUUUUGGUUUUCGUUCGUGUCUUGCAACUUUAUUAUUUAUCUUUUCAUUUUUGUAUGUAAUUAGUUUCAAUUCUUUCUUUAGUUUUAGUUAUGUUUUCUUAUUAUGUUACGAGAUUGUCUAGGCAACCAACCGUUUGAGUCUCUUAGGGGACUCAAACGGGGGCAAUUUGGUCAUUUUAAGCCUUGGAAAUUUCACGCGCGUGUUGCUUGGUACCAAUGCUAGGUUAUAUUGGUACCAUUGUCCGAAAAUUUUGAUAUCAAAGUAAGUUUGCUUGGUACCAAUCCUGAUAACAAUUUGAUACCAAUAUCAGGUUAUAAUGGUACCAUUGUGUAACUUUUUGAGUGUUUGAGUCUUUUUUGGACUCAAACAGUUGGUUACGAAGGCUUUCUCAUUAUGUUACCGAUCUGCUUUUUUCAUCUGUCAGAUAUUGUAACUUUUUCUGCUUAAUGCAUGAAUACAAUGUGUUGUAACUA